rnacentral:lncRNA from 1 species
CCCCCCCAAGCUUGGCUUCUUCAAACGCUCGGUGCCCUACGGCACGGCCAUGGAGAAGGCGCAGCUGAAACCCCAAGCGGCCUCGGAGGCCUAAGGGCGUCACCGGGACGGCACCGCCAACGUCACCGGGACGGCACCGGGCACGGCCAACGGCUGGGACAGGCGGCAGAGCCGGACUGGGACCACCGAGCCCGGCGUCACCGCUGGACGGCACCGGGGUGAUGCCGGGUGGGCACCACCGCCACGGGUGCAGGGGACAACGCCGCGCUGGGUGGUGGCAGCGCCGUGCCCACGGCGUCACCGCGAUGGGCGUCACCACGGUGGGACCGCCGUGCCAACAGUGUCACCGCGAUGGGCGUCACCGUGACGGCACUGCUGUACCGACGAUGGGUGUCACCGUGGUGGGACCGCCGUGCCAACAGUGUCACCAUGAUGGGAGUCACCGUGACAUGACCGCCGUGCCAACAGUGUCACCGCGAUGGGCGUCACCGCGACACUACUGUGCCACCCCCUGGUCGCUGCAAUGGGUGUCACCGUGCCAGCACUGCUGUACCAGCAAUGUCACCACGAUGGGGGUCACCGUGACGUGACCGCCGUGCCAACAGUGUCACCGUGAUGGCAUCGCCGUGCCAACAGUGUCACCAUGAUGGGUGUCACCGUGACGUGACCGCCGUGCCAACACUGUCACCAUGAUGGGAGUCACCGUGAUGGCACCGCCGUGCCAACAGUGUCACCGUGAAGGGUGUCACUGCAACGUGACCGCCGUGCCAGCACUGUCACCAUGAUGGGAGUCACCGUGACGGCACCGCCGUGCCAACACCAUCACUGCAAUGGGUGUCCCCGUGGCGGGACCCCGGUGCCAGCACUGUCACCAUGAUGGGAGUCACCGUGAUGGCACCACCGUGCCAACAGAGUCACUGUGAUGGGCGUCACCAUGACGUGACCGCCGUGCCAACACUGUCACCAUGAUGGGAGUCACCGUGGCGGGACCCCCGUGCCAGCAUUGUCACCGUGACGGGCAUCACCAGGAUGGCACGGCUGGGGUUGUAGUGUCACCACGACCCCGGGGGGACGGGCACCAUCCGUGGUGACGUCGUGGUGACAUGGUGGUGACGUGGUGGUGACGUGGUGGUGACACGGUGGCCCGGCGGUCGCGGUGUCGUCGUUGCUGCACUGCCCGUGCCCCUCACCGCGGGCACCUCACUUUGCACUGAGCCC